rnacentral:sRNA from 1 species
GGCUGAGAGCUUGGGUUUUGGGGUCUCAUUGUCCUGGGUUCAAAUUCUGGCUCUGCCACGUGCGUCCCUCCUGAAGCUGCGCUCUCGGUCGAAGAGGAUGACCUUCCCCGCUACAGGAGGACCAUUCUUUCGUCAAGGGUAUGCGAGUAGCUCUGCUCCCCUGCUAGAACCUCCGAACAAGCUCUCAAAUUCUGGCCCUGGCAGUUUUUUACUCUCAACCAGUGACGACUACACUCUGAGUCUCAGUUUCUGAAAUUGGAAAAUGAGAAGGCAG